UACGGGGGGGGUAAGCGUUGUUCGGAAUUACUGGGCGUAAAGGGCUCGUAGGCGGCCAACUAAGUCGGACGUGAAAUCCCUCAGCUUAACUGGGGAACUGCGUCCGAUACUGGCAGGCUUGAAUCCGGGAGAGGGAUGCGGAAUUCCAGGUGUAGCGGUGAAAUGCGUAGAUAUCUGGAGGAACACCGGUGGCGAAGGCGGCAUCCUGGACCAACACUGACACUGAGGAGCGAAAGCCAGGGGAGCAAACGGG
rnacentral:rRNA from 1 species